UCCUACGGGAGGCAGCAGUAGGGAAUCUUCCGCAAUGGACGAAAGUCUGACGGAGCAACGCCGCGUGAGUGAUGAAGGUUUUCGGAUCGUAAAGCUCUGUUGUUAGGGAAGAACAAGUGCGAGAGUAACUGCUCGCACCUUGACGGUACCUAACCAGAAAGCCACGGCUAACUACGUGCCAGCAGCCGCGGUAAUACGUAGGUGGCAAGCGUUGUCCGGAAUUAUUGGGCGUAAAGGGCUCGCAGGCGGUUUCUUAAGUCUGAUGUGAAAGCCCCCGGCUCAACCGGGGAGGGUCAUUGGAAACUGGGAAACUUGAGUGCAGAAGAGGAGAGUGGAAUUCCACGUGUAGCGGUGAAAUGCGUAGAGAUGUGGAGGAACACCAGUGGCGAAGGCGACUCUCUGGUCUGUAACUGACGCUGAGGAGCGAAAGCGUGGGGAGCGAACAGGAUUAGAUACCCUGGUAGUCCACGCCGUAAACGAUGAGUGCUAAGUGUUAGGGGGUUUCCGCCCCUUAGUGCUGCAGCUAACGCAUUAAGCACUCCGCCUGGGGAGUACGGUCGCAAGACUGAAACUCAAAUGAAUUGACGGA
rnacentral:rRNA from 1 species